GGGAACUCUUGGGAAAUACUCUUGGGUUCGAGAAAGCCCAGAUCAUGCAGGCACCCUGCCUUACCUCACAGCCGCCCAGAGAUAGGAGUAACCUGCCAAGCAUGUAAACAAGACUCCUCCCAAACUGAAACCUUAUCCCUGGCUUUGAUGUACCUCCCCUUAAAUAAAGAAUUGGGGCCUUUUUCAGUCCUUCAGUUCCAGUUGCUGUCAAGGCUAGAAGACCCAUCAGGUGCCCCACUUCCUAAAUCUAAUCUUUGGAUUUGUCUUUCUUACUGAUUAUUUCAGACUUUUUAUUUUCCCAGGCAGCUCACACCUCCUAGCAGGAACCUGGUCUUCUGUGGUUCUGUCUACACCAUCAACUAAGGAGGUGAAAGUCCUCUACAAUGAAAACUAUAGAACACUGAAGAGACAUUGAAAAAGAUCUCAGAAAAUGGAAAGACCUCCCAUGUUCAUGGAUAGGCAGAAUUAAUAUUGUUAAGCUGGUCAUUCUACCAAUCUCCAUCAAGAUACCAAUGGCAUUCUUCACAGAAUUAGACAAAACAGUCCUAAAAUUCAUUUGGAAGAAUAAAAUAACCAAAACAAUUCUAAGCCAAAAAAAGCAACGCUGGAGGCAACACAAUACCUCACUUCAAAUACUACAGAGCUAUAGUAACAGAAAUUGCAUGAUACCAGCAUAAAAACAGACACAUAGACCAAUGAUACAGAAUAAGACACAGAGACAAAUCCUAGACAUCUACAAUCAUCUGAUUCUUGACAAAGCUGCCAAAAAUAUAUCUUGAAGACAGCCCUUUUAGCAAAUGGUACCAGGAAAACUGGUUAUUCAUAGAUUCAGAAUGAGACUAGAUCAUUAUUCACCAUGUACAAAAUUCAACUCAAAAUAGAUCAAAGACCUAGGAAUUAGAUCAGAACUAUGCAACUUCUAGAAGAAAAUGUAGGGUCAACACUGCAGCAUAUAGGCACAGGAAACAACUUUCUCAACAGGACCCCUGAAGCUCAGGAAAUAAUGCCGAGAGUUAAUAAGUGAGAUAGCAUCAAAUUAAAAACAUUUAUGCACCAAAGGAAAACAAUAAGGAAUUUGAAGAGAGAACCUACAGAAUGGGAGAGAAUUUUUGCUAGCUAUUCUUCUGGCAGAGAAUUAAUAUUUAGAAUAUAUAAAAUCUUAACACCAAAAAACCCAAACAAACAACCCUAUUAAGCCUAUAAAUAAAUGGACAAAUGAACUAAACAGAUGCUUCUCAAAAGAAGAAAUACAAAUGGCCAACAAAUAUAUGAAAAAAAUGUUCAAACCAUUAGCAAUGAGGGAAAUUCAAGUCAAAACUACACUGAGAUUGCCAGGCACUUCUGUAAUCCCAGGGGCUUGGGGGCUGAGACAGGAGGAUCACAAGUUUAAAGCCAGCCUCAGCAAAAGUGAGGCCCUAAACAACUCAGUGAGACUCUGUUUUUAAAUAAAAUGCAAAAUAGGGCUGGGGACGAGGCUCAGUGAUUGAGUACCCCUGGGUUCAAUCCCUGGUACCCCCUCCAAAAAAAAAAAAAAACUACACUGAGAUUUCAUCUCACACAGUCAGAAUGGCAGUCAUCAAGAAUAUCAAGAAAACAAAUAAUAAUAAAUGCUGGAAAGGAUAUAGAGAAAAAGGAACAUUUUUACACUGUUGGUGGGAUUGUAAAUGAGUACAACCACUGUGGAAAUCAACAUGGAAGUUCUUCAAAAGGCCAGGCAUGGAACCACUAUGUGACCCAGCUGUAAUACUCUUCAGUAUUUAUCCUAACGAAUGAAAGUCAUCAUACUAGAGCAAUACAUGCACACUCAUGUUUAUAGCAGCACUUUCACAAUAGUCAAACUAUGGAUUCAGCCUAUGUGUCCAUCAAAAUAUGACUACUUAAUGUGGUAUAUAUAGACAAUGGAUUAUAUAUCAUCUUGAAGCCAUUAACAGUGAUGUAUUAGGGCCAGUAUGCAAGUACUGAAAGUUAAAUCAUUACAAACUUGUGAGUCAGUUGAUGUCACAUUGGUCCCUUGAAAUUGACCACCAUAGGAGUAUUUAAGCAUAGAAAUCUGCAGUUACUAUACAUCAUGGCUUCUUCCUCCCAUGCAAGUUUGUUGUAGAACAUUUGCCAGCCCACCAUUGAAUGUAUAUCUGUCUAGCACGUAGAUACGAAAAGAUCUAAAGAAAAAUGUGGAAAUGACUAUACCAAACUCAGAAUAUUGGUUACCACUUGUCUUACUUCAAUUUCUGUUACUAUAACUGAAUACUAUAGACUGGAUAAUUUAUAAAGAAUAUAUGUUUAUUUAGCUCACAGUUGUGAGGCUGGGAAGUCCAAGAGCAUGGCACAGGUAUAUACUCAGCAUCUGGUGAGAGUCUUUCUUUCUGCAUCAUAACAUGGUAGAGGGCAUCACCUGGUGGAACAGAGCCACCAAGUCAGAAAGUGAUUGCUUUCUCUCUCUCAGUAACCCAUUAAUCCAUAUGUCAGUGAAUUCACUAAUGUGGGCAGUGCCAUCAUGACGCAAUCACCUCCCCAAAGGCUCACCUCCAAAUACCAUUAAAAUUUGAAUUGGGAGAUUGAGUUUCCAACACAUGAAAUUUGGGGGAUAGAUGCAAACCAUAGUGCCACUGGAAGGGACAUAAUUUCUGAGGAACACACAGGGCUUCUGGGGUUAAUCAUUUCUCCUCCGUGGACAGAGCAGUACAUGCAGUUGUACAAAAGACCACAAACUCACAUUUUUGAAAUGUGUGUUUGUCACUUAUUAGAGAUCUGUAUGCAGAAAGAAAUGAGGGGACCAACCAGUAAGUCCAGGGACCAGAACAUCUCAAGGCUGGACAUCAGUUUCUUCAUUUAACCACCUACAAUUCCUUCCCCUAACUAUACAUACCUCUUCCUAGAACUGCUUUGGGAUCCACACAACAGGGAGGGCCUUGUGCUCAUCAUUAACAAACUUCAAAGGGCCAGAACAUUUGAGAAUAUAUUCAAACAUAUAUAUAUCAACAAGGGAAGUCACACUAUUCAAUCAGAAGAAGGCAAAGGAUGAAAGGGUCAUGAUGGUUGUAGAUAAAGAUUUUGUUAUUGUUAUCAGCAUUUUAACCUUUAAGCUGAGUUUUAUUAUGUAUAAAGGGUUGGUUUCUUCUUUAGCAUGCAGUGUUUGUUUUACUUGUUAUUUUUUACUCUGUAAAUAUAAAUUUUCAUACACUACUUUGCUACGUUUCACAAUUAAUUAAAUGUAAAAAUUACUAUGAGGGGCUGGGGUUGUGGCUCAGCGGUAGAGCACUUGUCUAGCACGUGCAAGGCGCUGGGUUCGAUCCUCAACACCACAUAAAAAUAAAUAAAUAAAAUAAAGUUAUUGUGUCCAACUACAACUAAGUAAAAAGUUUUUUUAAAAAAUUAGUAUGAGGGCUGAGUCUGUGGCUCAGUGGUAGCACACUUGCCUGGCAUGUGUGAGGCACUGGGUUCGAUUUUCAGCACCACAUAUAAAUAAAUAAAGGUCUAUCAACAACUAAAAAAAAUACCUUUGUAAAAAUUAGUAUGAGAGGAAAUAAUAUUAUAUAUGCUAUACUAUAUUUCACAAUACAUUUAAAAAGAAUAAAUUUUAUAAAAAUUUUAUUUUGUACAAUAAAUGUCUGCACUAUUGGCUCACUAAAAAAAUUCCUAGACUGAAAUUAGAAAAUCAAACCAUCUUGCAGCUAAGGCCUUAACCCUGUGGGAGAGUGCUAAAAGCUUUCUGAGGUCUUUGCUGAUUUUAAAGCAGUAGAAAACUGGGACAGAAGACUGAAUUUGAAAGAGUUCAAUAGGAUUCUCUGAAUGUUCUGGGCAGAUAUCCAGGAUGAAGGCCGGAGGUGGAGAGGAGAACACUGUAUUGUUCACAUUUGUUGAUAAGAAUGUCUUAAAAAGUGAAACUUCUUCCUCGAAGCAGAAGGGAUUCUGAUAGGGUCUAAAUGUUUACCAGGAAUGUGAUUGGCUCAGGCAAAAUGGAUAGCUAUGUAGAAAGAGCCCUUAAUCUAUAAUCAAGGUGGAAAGGACAGCACUUAAGGGUAAUGUUUUCAUGACAAUUGCUAAAAUUUCAGAGCAGCACAUGGAUUCUUUUUUGUUGUUGUUGUUCUGGAGACUGAACCCAGGGCAAGCUAGCAUAUGUUCUACCACUGAGCUAAACCCUCAGUGCUCCUCUUUCUCUUUUAAUUGUAGGAAAAUAUUAACUUUUCACAGUACCCAUAAAGAACCUCUACCUGAUAAUAUGGAAGCUAAAAUGGGUUUUGGUAAUGUGGGGAGACAGAAAGAGACCAGAAAAUGGAACUAGGCUGAUGCCCCCUAAGUAGUCUCAGAUAAGACCACAUCAGGGCAGCCAGCCUGCGAAGGACCAGGGUCUGGAUAAUGGUGACUUCUGACAGCAUACUGGGAGGCUGUGACCUGGGUUCUGGUCCACGUUUUCUGCUGGUCUGAAAUAAAUACUAAUCCUCAGAUGUGGAAAGCUCACCUGAAAAUGCCCUUUACCAAAUUUUAUUAUUAUUUUGCUGUUGUAAAUGGGAUGUUUUCCACCAGUAUGUCAUCUAAAUGUUAAGGAUAUUUUUGAGGGUUGCCUUUAAAUAUUUUGAGCAAUAGGCUCACAGACUUGGAGCUCAGAAUUUAUAAAAUAAACAAAAUAGGGAGGAAACCGGAUGAUGACAAGAGGUUUUCCUGUCACACAGUAAGGCAAUAAUACAGUGUUCCGCACUCCCCCCCCCACCAGCUAGCAGGAAAGAAUGAAUGCAUUCCCUUAAAAAUCAAGAACAACGCAAGAAAGUUCACUCUAUUUCCAUUCAACAUUGUAUAGGAAUUUUAGCCAGUGCAGUAAGGAAAAAGACACAUAAAAGUAUACAGAUGGGAAAGGAAAUUGUAAAAUGUUAUGUUAAAAUGACUUAGAAAUUGUAAGGAAUCUAUAAAGACUCCUACUCUGUAAAUGUAAAUGAGUUUGGCAAGGUCAUUGGAUAAAAGGCCAAAAUACAAAAAUCAAUGGCAACAGUCAAAGGUAGCAACAAGCCAUUGGAAAUUGAAGUUAAAAGCCAUUUAUGACAGCAUCAAAAGCAUGAAAUGCUUAGUCGUAAAUCUAACGCAAUAUGUGGAAGACCUGUAUGUGAAAAUUCACAGUAUAGUUGGAAUAAAUUAAAGAAGACCUAAAUAGAUGGGAAGAUAUACCAUUGCUCAUGGAAUUAUUAAGAUAUUAAAUAUCAAAUGCACUUAGAUUGAAUGUGAUUCCACUGAACAUUCCAGAAACUGUCAAACUGAUUCUAAAAAUUGGAAAGGAAUGCAAAGGAUCUAAACUAGACAAGACAAUUUUGAGAAAGAAGUUGGAAGAUGUAUCAUGCUAAAUUUUUAAAUUAUAAUAAAUCUUUUAAAAGCUAAUGUAAUUUGACAGAAUGGUAUAGUGUAAAUAUAGACACACAGAUCAACUGAACAGAAUAGAAUUUGUAAGUGGCCCAUUUGUUUUUGACAAACGGACAAUGAAAUUGAAUAGAAAAAAGGUGUUUUUCAAUGAUGUUUCUGGAACAAAUGGACAUUUAUAUAGAAAAACAAUAAAACCUAUUAUUUCUUACACAAUACACAAAAAAUUGAUCAAAGCAUGUUUAAACCUUAGAAAAUAUGAUUCAAACCCUAUGAAAUUAUUAGUAGAAGGCCUAAGAGAAAAACCUUGGUGAUCUUGGGGUAAGAUUUCUUAGAAUGAAGAAAAAUAGAAAUUAUAAAAGAAAAACGAGGGAAUGGGAUUAUGGCUCAGCAGUAGAGUGCUCACCUAACUUGUGCUAGGGGCUGGGUUCAAUCCUCAGCACCACAUAAAAAUAAAUAAAUAAAAUAAAGGUAUUGUGUCCAACUACAACUAAAAAAAAUAUUAAAAAAAGAAAAAAACUUGAAAGACUGAACUUUAUCAAAAUUAAGUACUGCUACUUUUCAAAACACACUGUUAUGAAAAUAAAGGAAGCUGUAGAUUGUGGGAAAUUAUUUUCAAUGUAUAUAUAUGACAAAGGCCUUAUAUGUAGAAUAUAGAUACAACUCCUGUUCAAUAAAAAGAUAUAAUUUCCAAAUAUAAACUAAAGAUUUGAAGAUACUCCACUAAAGAAGAUAUGAAAGUAUCUAGCAAGCACACGAGAAGCUGCUUAGCAUCAUUUGUCAUCAGAGAAGUGCAAAUUUAAACCACAAUGAAAUACUAUCUUAUAUCCUCUAUCCUGGCUUAAAAAAAAAAAUAGUUGAUGCCCUUUCCCCUGGUCAGUAGUCCAGAAAGCACGUGAAACUUAGAAUUCCUGUAAAAGAUGUAAACCAGCAAGAGUUCAUCAGAGUUCUGGCAGCCUUUCUUUAAAAAUCCAGGAAGCUGAAGGUCCUCGAGUGGGUGGACACAGUCCAGCUGGCCAAGCACAAACAACUUGUUCCCUAUAAUAAGAAUUGGUUCUUCACAUCAGCUGUUUCCAUAUCAGGGCACCUGGACCUCUGGGGGUGGUGCAAGAGUUGGCUCCAUGACUACAUUCUAAAGGAAAGAUCAGAGAAAUGGCAUCACGCCCAGCCACUUCAGCCAAGUCAUCAAGAAUGUGGCCUGGUCGUGAUGGCUGCACAACAAUGUGAAUGUACUCAAAACUACUGCAUUGUAUGCUUCAAAAUGGUUAAGAUGGUAAAUGUUAUGUUUUGUGUUUUUUGUGUAUUUUACCACAAGGAAAAAAAAAGUAGAUACAUCAGUGGAACAAAACAGUCUAUAAAUAGAUUGCAGGCAUAUGGUCUACUGGUUUUCAAAAAAGUAUUGUAAUGGAAUAAAAAGAAGAGAGAGUAAGAGUGUGUGUGUGUGUGUGUGUGUGUGUGCUUUUUUCAGAAAGAAAUAUAGCAUGAAACUCACUGAGCUGCUUUGUGCAAGCUGUAUGACAUUGGCCUUCACCAUUUCUAAGAACAAUUCAUUUAUGAAGCCUAUAUGCCAGGUUCCAGGUCUGAUAGUUUACUUGAAUUCUUUAAUUUUUGCAACAACCUUAGGAGAUAGGAUUUAUUUUACAAAUACUAAUACUGAGCCUCGGAGAUCUUAGGUACCCAUGCUGGUGACUGGGAGAGCUGUUUGAAAGCUCCUUUAUCAAUUCCAGAACAAGUGCACUUGGCCUUUACCUCUAAGUUGCAUCUUUCUGUGUAAGGAGUUUUGGAGAGGUUCCUAUCUUCUACCAUUGUAACCCAAGGACCACUUUCCUUGUCCUGAUUCUAAGCCUAAGGUGAAGAACUUGUUUUCUCUCCUGCUGCUCUAGAGGAGGCAAAGUGAGGCAGUGCAGAAAGUCCUAUGAACAAAUACCCCGAGUUGCCAUUUGAGAGCAGGUGGCCUUGUGCAAAUCACUGUGACUUCAUGGAUGAAAAAGUUGCCAAUUUAAAUCAGCUCCAAGUUUCCUUUCUGUUCUAGGAUUCUAAGAUAUGACAAAGCUAAGAUAGGCUGAAAAUAAAUUUUCUCAGAAGGCUAAGUGUAGUAAUAUUGUUUUUUGUGCUAAAUACAAGUGUGUGUAUGCAUUUCACAUGUACUCCAUACAAGGACUAAUAUAAACUCA
rnacentral:lncRNA from 1 species